rnacentral:rRNA from 1 species
UACAGAGGUCCCAAGCGUUGUUCGGAUUCACUGGGCGUAAAGGGUGCGUAGGCGGUCGGGCAAGUCUGACGUGAAAUACCGGAGCUCAACUCCGGAAUGGCGUCGGAAACUGUCCGGCUGGAGGAUUGGAGGGGGGACUGGAAUUCUCGGUGUAGCAGUGAAAUGCGUAGAUAUCGAGAGGAACACCUGUGGCGAAGGCGAGUCCCUGGACAAUUCCUGACGCUGAGGCACGAAAGCUAGGGGAGCAAACAGG